AUUGAACGCUGGCGGCAGGCCUAACACAUGCAAGUCGAGCGGAGCGGCGGACGGGUGUGUAAGGCCUAGGAAUCAGCCUGGCAGUGGGGGACAACGUCCGGAAACGAGCGCUAAUACAUCAUACUAUCAGUUGAGUCUAUGUUGGAUUAGCUAGGUGGUGGGGUAAAGGCCUACCAAGGCUACGAUCCGUACCUGGUCUGAGAGGAUGAACAGUCACACUGGAACUGAGACACGGUCCAGACUCCUAGGGGAGGGAGCAGUGGGGAAUAUUGGACAAUGGGCGAAAGCCUGAUCCAGCCAUGCCGCGUGUGUGAAGAAGGUCUUCGGUUUGUAAAGCACUUUCAGUUGGGAGGCGUUACCCACAGAAUAAGCACCGGCUAACUUCGUGCCAGCAGCCGCGGUAAUAC
rnacentral:rRNA from 1 species